rnacentral:rRNA from 1 species
UCAGGCCUAACACAUGCAAGUCGAGCGGAAACGAGUUAUCUGAACCUUCGGGGAACGAUAACGGCGUCGAGCGGCGGACGGGUGAGUAAUGCCUAGGAAAUUGCCCUGAUGUGGGGGAUAACCAUUGGAAACGAUGGCUAAUACCGCAUGAUGCCUACGGGCCAAAGAGGGGGACCUUCGGGCCUCUCGCGUCAGGAUAUGCCUAGGUGGGAUUAGCUAGUUGGUGAGGUAAGGGCUCACCAAGGCGACGAUCCCUAGCUGGUCUGAGAGGAUGAUCAGCCACACUGGAACUGAGACACGGUCCAGACUCCUACGGGAGGCAGCAGUGGGGAAUAUUGCACAAUGGGCGCAAGCCUGAUGCAGCCAUGCCGCGUGUGUGAAGAAGGCCUUCGGGUUGUAAAGCACUUUCAGUCGUGAGGAAGGUGGUGUAGUUAAUAGCUGCAUUACUUGACGUUAGCGACAGAAGAAGCACCGGCUAACUCCGUGCCAGCAGCCGCGGUAAUACGGAGGGUGCGAGCGUUAAUCGGAAUUACUGGGCGUAAAGCGCAUGCAGGUGGUUUGUUAAGUCAGAUGUGAAAGCCCGGGGCUCAACCUCGGAAUAGCAUUUGAAACUGGCAGACUAGAGUACUGUAGAGGGGGGUAGAAUUUCA